rnacentral:rRNA from 1 species
UACGUAGGGGGCUAGCGUUGUCCGGAAUCAUUGGGCGUAAAGCGCGUGUAGGCGGUCCGGUAAGUCCGCUGUGAAAGUCGGGGGCUCAACCCUCGAAUGCCGGUGGAUACUGUCGGGCUAGAGUACGGAAGAGGCGAGUGGAAUUCCUGGUGUAGCGGUGAAAUGCGCAGAUAUCAAGGAGGAACACCAAUUGCGAAGGCAGCUCGCUGGGACGUUACUGACGCUGAGACGCGAAAGCGUGGGGAGCAAACAGG